ensembl:snoRNA small nucleolar RNA U82P
GGGCUGAUGAAGGGCUCUGCCAAUCCCCAUCUCUGCUCUGCUCCUCCUUGAAG